CUUGUAGGCGGUUGAGUAAGUCGGGUGUGAAAACUCUGGGCUUAACCCGGAGACGCCAUCCGAUACUGCUCUGACUAGAGUUCAGGAGGGGAGUGGGGAAUUCCUAGUGUAGCGGUGAAAUGCGCAGAUAUUAGGAGGAACACCGGUGGCGAAGGCGCCACUCUGGACUGAAACUGACGCUGAGGAGCGAAGGCAUGGGUAGCAAACA
rnacentral:rRNA from 1 species